CUGCAGAAACAACAACAUCUGUUCCAAUAACAACAGCUGCAGAAACAACAUCUAUUCCAACUACCACAGUUGCAGGAACAACAACAUCUUCUGUCACAACACUGGCAGCAACAACAACACCUGCUGUGACCACACCUGCCAAUCUUGCAACUGCUGCACCAACAGCUGUGGCACUAACAACAUUAAGGGUGACUUUCAGAUCUCUUCAAAACACAUUUACAAAUGACUUGAGGGAUUCAUCAUCGGCAGCUUUUAGAAAUCUAGCUUCAGUGAUAAAGACACAGCUUGAACCUCAGUUUCAAAUGACAUUCCCUUCCUUGUUCAAGUCAUUGGAAAUUGUAUCAUUCAGAAAUGGAUCAGUCAUCACUGAAAUGAAUGUCACCUUUGAAAGUGCAUCUGUGCCAAACAACACACAAAUUACAAGUGUUUUGACCAGUGCAGCUUCAAACGUCACCGGCUUUGACAUUGAAGGAAGCUCCAUUACUGUGAAUGGCAUAGCUCUGACAACCACAGCUGCAGAAACAACAACAUCUGUCCCAAUAACAACAGCUGCAGAAACAACAUCUAUUCCACCAACCACAGCUGCAGGAACAACAACACCUGCUCCAACAACAACAGCUGCGGAGACAUCAACACCUUCUGUAACAACACUGGCUGCAACAACAACAGCUGCCCCAACAACAACAGCUGCAGUAACAACACCUGUUCCAACAACACCUGCAGAAACAACGACACCUGUUCCAACAACAACAGCUGGAGAAACAACAACACCUUCUGUAGCAGCUGCAGAAACAACAACAUCUGUUCCAACAACAUCUGCAGUAACAACAACACUUGCCU